CCUACGGGCGGCUGCAGUGGGGAAUAUUGGACAAUGGGGGGAACCCUGAUCCAGCCAUGCCGCGUGUGUGAAGAAGGCCCUCGGGUUGUAAAGCACUUUCAGUGAGGAAGAACGCCUGGUGGUUAAUACCCAUCAGGAAAGACAUCACUCACAGAAGAAGCACCGGCUAACUCCGUGCCAGCAGCCGCGGUAAUACGGAGGGUGCGAGCGUUAAUCGGAAUUACUGGGCGUAAAGCGCGCGUAGGUGGCUUGAUAAGCCGGUUGUGAAAGCCCCGGGCUCAACCUGGGAACGGCAUCCGGAACUGUCAAGCUAGGGUGCAGGAGAGGAAGGUAGAAUUGCCGGUGUAGCGGUGAAAUGCGUAGAGAUCGGGAGGAAUACCAGUGGCGAAGGCGGCCUUCUGGACUGACACUGACACUGAGGUGCGAAAGCGUGGGUAGCAAACAGGAUUAGAUACCCUGGUAGUC
rnacentral:rRNA from 1 species